CACACACACACACACACACACACAUCUCUCCAUUCUGGUUGUUUUCUAACGUUCGAUCCAACUUGGUAUUUUAUUAGCAGCUGAUACUCCUGGGGUCCACAUGAAGCAGGACAGAACAUUCCUUUGACAAGAACGGCUCAAAGACAAAACUACUAACAUUUUAAAAUAAGGACAAUAUAACUAGGAGGUUCUGUACUGACUAAAUACUGAGAAAAAACCCAUAGAGACCUAAUAUUCUAGGACUGUGUUUAUCGUGUACUAAUUAAUAUUCUAGUACUAUGUUUAUCGUGUACUAAUUAAUAUUCUAGGACUACGUUUAUCGUGUACUAAUUAAUAUUCUAGUACUAUGUUUAUCGUGUACUAAUUAAUAUUCUAGGACUACGUUUAUCGUGUACUAAUUAAUAUUCUAGUACUAUGUUUAUUGUGUACUAAUUAAUAUUCUAGUACUAUGUUUAUUGUGUACUAAUUAAUAUUCUAGGACUACGUUUAUUGUGUACUAAUUAAUAUUCUAGUACUAUGUUUAUUGUGUACUAAUUAAUAUUCUAGGACUACGUUUAUUGUGUACUAAUUCAUAUUCUAGUACUAUGUUUAUUGUGUACUAAUUAAUAGUCUGAGAAGUAGCUGGUGAAACAAGCGAGGCAGUCAUUUGAGAAACCAAGGCUGUUAAGUCUGCCGAUAAGAAUGACAGACAUACCGCUCAGGAAGGAGAUGCGUCCAGAUUGUCUAGCCCGGCUGAUUUGUAGGGGUCCAGGUUGUCUAGUCCAGCUGAUUUGUAGGGGUCCAGGUUGUCUAGUCCAGCUGAUUUGUAGGGGUCCAGGUUGUCUAGUCCAGCUGAUUUGUAGGGGUCCAGGUUGUCUAGUCCAGCUGAUUUGUAGGGGUCCAGGUUGUCUAGUCCAGCUGAUUUGUAGGGGUCCAGGUUGUCUAGUCCAGCUGAUUUGUAGGGGUCCAGGUUGUCUAGUCCAGCUGAUUUGUAGGGGUCCAGGUUGUCUAGUCCAGCUGAUUUGUAGGGGUCCAGGUUGUCUAGUCCAGCUGAUUUGUAGGGGUCCAGGUUGUCUAGUCCAGCUGAUUUGUAGGGGUCCAGGUUGUCUAGUCCAGCUGAUUUGUAGGGGUCCAGGUUGUCUAGUCCAGCUGAUUUGUAGGGGUCCAGGUUGUCUACCUCGGCUGAUUUGUAGGGGUCCAGAUUGUCUAGUCCAGCUGAUUUGUAGGGGUCCAGGUUGUCUAGUCCAGCUGAUUUGUAGGGGUCCAGGUUGUCUAGUCCAGCUGAUUUGUAGGGGUCCAGAUUUCGCGGCUCUUUCAGAACAUCAGCUGUCUGGAUUUGGGAGAAGGAGAAAUGGGGGAGGCUUGGCAAGUUGCUGUGGGGGGCGCAGGGCUGUUGACCGGGGUAGGGGUAGGGGUAGCCAGGUGGAAAGCAUGGCUAGCCGUAGAAAAAUUCUUAUUGAAAUUCUCAAUUAUAGUGCAUUUAUCGGUGGUGACAGUGUUUCCUAUCCUCAGAGCAGUGGGCAGCUGGGAGGAGGUGCUCUUAUUCUCCAUGGACUUUACAGUGUCGGCCAGGAAUGGCAAAUAGUUUCUACCCCCAGACAAUCAGGCUGCUGAAUAGACACCACUAGUCAGCUGUUUGUACCAUCAGACCAUCAGGCUGCUGAAUAGACACCACUAGUCAGCUGUUUCUACCAUCAGACCAUCAGGCUGCUGAAUAGACACCACUAGUCAGCUGUUUCUACCAUCAGGCUGCUGAAUAGACACCACUAGUCAGCUGUUUCUACCAUCAGGCUGCUGAAUAGACACCACUAGUCAGCUGUUUCUACCAUCAGGCUGCUGAAUAGACACCACUAGUCAGCUGUUUCUACCAUCAGGCUGCUGAAUAGACACCACUAGUCAGCUGUUUCUACCAUCAGACCAUCAGGCUGCUGAAUGGACACCACUAGUCAGCUGUUUCUACCCCCAGACCAUCAGGCUGCUGAAUAGACACCACUAGUCAGCUGUUUCUACCAUCAGGCUGCUGAAUAGACACCACUAGUCAGCUGUUUCUACCAUCAGACCAUCAGGCUGCUGAAUGGACACCACUAGUCAGCUGUUUCUAUCCCCAGAG
rnacentral:lncRNA from 1 species